UACCACGCAGUGAGCACAAAGCGAACUAUUCUUUCGCCUUUUACUAAAGAAUACCAUGUGCUCGCUGCAUUAAGUGGCAUACGUUUAUUUUUGACUUGAGUUAUUGACUAUAUAG